rnacentral:SRP_RNA from 1 species
GCCUGGCGCGGUGGCGAGCGCCUGUAGUCCCAGCUGCUCGGGAGGCUGAGGUGGAAGGAUCGCUUGAGUCCACGAGUUCUGGGCUGCAGUGCGCUAUGCCGAUCGGGUGUCCGCACUAAGUUCGGCACCAAUAUGGUGACCUCCCGGGAGCGGGGUACCACCAGGUUGCCUAAGGAGGGGUGAACCGGCCCAGGUCGGAAACGGAGCAGGUCAAAACUCCCGUGCUGAUCAACAUUUAGAAUUUUAAACAUUAUAGCCAUAACCAUGUACACAGACUGCUGUUUU